rnacentral:rRNA from 1 species
AGAGUUUGAUCCUGGCUCAGAACGAACGCUGGCGGCAGGCCUAACACAUGCAAGUCGAGCGCCCGCAAGGGAGCGGCAGACGGGUGAGUAACGCGUGGGAACGUGCCCUUUGGUUCGGAAUAUUCCCGGGAAACUGGGAGCAAAACCGGAUAAGCCCUUCGGGGGAAAGUUUACGCCAAAGGAUCGGCCCGCGUUAGAUUAGGUAGUUGGUGGGGUAACGGCCUACCAAGCCCACGAUCUAUAGCUGAUCUGAGAGGAUGAUCAGCCACACUGGGACUGAGACACGGCCCAGACUCCUACGGGAGGCAGCAGUGGGGAAUCUUGGACAAUGGGCGCAAGCCUGAUCCAGCCAUGCCGCGUGGAUGACUGAAGGCCCUAGGGUUGUAAAGUCCUUUCGACGGGGACGAUAAUGACGGUACCCGUAGAAGAAGCCCCGGCUAACUUCGUGCCAGCAGCCGCGGUAAUACGAAGGGGGCUAGCGUUGUUCGGAUUUACUGGGCGUAAAGGGCGCGUAGGCGGAUUUUUAAGUCGGGGGUGAAAUCCCGGAGCUCAACUCCGGAACUGCCUUCGAUACUGGAAGUCUGGAGCACGGUAGAGGUGAGUGGAAUUCCGAGUGUAGCGGUGAAAUGCGUAGA